rnacentral:rRNA from 1 species
GUCUUUUUGAUUAUAAUUUAAGGUCUGACCUGCCCUCUGAUAAAAUAUUGAAUGGCCGCGAUAAUUUGAUCGUGCAAAGGUAGCAUAAUAAUUAGUUUUUUAAUUGGGAACUGGAAUGAAAGGUCGAACGAGAAAAAGACUGUCUCAAUUUAAUUUUAAUUAGAAUUUUAUUUUUAAGUAAAAAAGCUUAAAUAAUUUUAAAAGACGAGAAGACCCUAUAGAGUUUUAUAUUUAAUAAAUUAUUUUUUAGUUUAAGAAUUUUAUUUUAAAAUUAUUUAUUAAAUAUUUGGUUGGGGUGAUUGAAAAAUUUAAUAAACUUUUUUUAUUUAUUUUACAUUGAUAUAUGAUUAAUUGAUCCAUUAUUUAUGAUUAAAAGAUUAAAUUACCUUAGGGAUAACAGCGUAAUUUUUUUUGAGAGUUCUUAUCGAAAAAAAAGUUU